rfam:Setaria italica strain Yugu1 chromosome I, whole genome shotgun sequence.
UACUUUUGUCCUAAGUCAAACUUCCCUAACUUUGACCAAGUUUCUGGAAAAAUAUAUUAACAUCUACAAUACCAAAUAAGUGCACUAUCAAAACAUAUUUUAUGGUGAAUUCAAUUAAACUAAUUCAAUAUUGUACAUGUUGAUGCUUGUUCUAUAACUUGGUCAAAGUUGGGGAAAGUUUGACUUAGGACAAAGCUAA